UAGCAAUAUUCUGUAGUCGGAGCGGCGCAAGGGUGCGUAACACGUGGGUAAUCUGCCAUGAAGUUUGGGAUAACUCGCUGAAAGGCGAGCUAAUACCGGAUGUGAAGAUUGGAAGGCAUCUUUUGAUCUUCAAAGCUGGGGACCGUAAGGCCUGGCGCUUCAUGAUGAGCCCGCGGCCUAUCAGCUAGUUGGUGAGGUAACGGCUCACCAAGACUAAGACGGGUAGCUGGUCUGAGAGGACGACCAGCCACACUGGAACUGAGACACGGUCCAGACACCUACGGGUGGCAGCAGUCGAGAAUUUUUCACAAUGGGGGAAACCCUGAUGGAGCGACGCCGCGUGGGGGAUGAAUGGCUUCGGCCCGUAAACCCCUGUCAUUCGCGAACAAUGCCUGUGGUCUAAUAAAUCACAGGUUGAUAGUAGCGGAAGAGGAAGGGACGGCUAACUCUGUGCCAGCAGCCGCGGUAAUACAGAGGUCCCAAGCGUUGUUCGGAUUCACUGGGCGUAAAGGGUGCGUAGGCGGUCGGGUAAGUCUGAUGUGAAAAUCUCACAGCUUAACUGUGAAACUGCAUUGGAUACUAUUCGGCUUGAGGUCUGGAGGGGGGACUGGAAUUCACGGUGUAGCA
rnacentral:rRNA from 1 species